CGACCGGCGCACGGGUGAGUAACACGUAUGCAACCUGCCCUCUUCAGGGGGACAACCUUCCGAAAGGGAGGCUAAUCCCGCGUAUAUCGGUUUCGGGCAUCCGAGAUCGAGGAAAGAUUCAUCGGAAGAGGAUGGGCAUGCGGCGCAUUAGCUAGACAGCGGGGUAACGGCCCACCGUGGCGACGAUGCGUAGGGGUUCUGAGAGGAAGGUCCCCCACACUGGUACUGAGACACGGACCAGACUCCUACGGGAGGCAGCAG
rnacentral:rRNA from 1 species